AGAGUUUGAUCAUGGCUCAGAUUGAACGCUGGCGGCAGGCCUAACACAUGCAAGUCGAGCGGUAGCACAGAGAGCUUGCUCUCGGGUGACGAGCGGCGGACGGGUGAGUAAUGUCUGGGAAACUGCCUGAUGGAGGGGGAUAACUACUGGAAACGGUAGCUAAUACCGCAUAACGUCGCAAGACCAAAGUGGGGGACCUUCGGGCCUCAUGCCAUCAGAUGUGCCCAGAUGGGAUUAGCUAGUAGGUGGGGUAACGGCUCACCUAGGCGACGAUCCCUAGCUGGUCUGAGAGGAUGACCAGCCACACUGGAACUGAGACACGGUCCAGACUCCUACGGGAGGCAGCAGUGGGGAAUAUUGCACAAUGGGCGCAAGCCUGAUGCAGCCAUGCCGCGUGUGUGAAGAAGGCCUUCGGGUUGUAAAGCACUUUCAGCGGGGAGGAAGGCGAUAAGGUUAAUAACCUUGCCGAUUGACGUUACCCGCAGAAGAAGCACCGGCUAACUCCGUGCCAGCAGCCGCGGUAAUACGGAGGGUGCAAGCGUUAAUCGGAAUUACUGGGCGUAAAGCGCACGCAGGCGGUCUGUCAAGUCGGAUGUGAAAUCCCCGGGCUCAACCUGGGAACUGCAUUCGAAACUGGCAGGCUAGAGUCUUGUAGAGGGGGGUAGAAUUCCAGGUGUAGCGGUGAAAUGCGUAGAGAUCUGGAGGAAUACCGGUGGCGAAGGCGGCCCCCUGGACAAAGACUGACGCUCAGGUGCGAAAGCGUGGGGAGCAAACAGGAUUAGAUACCCUGGUAGUCCACGCCGUAAACGAUGUCGAUUUGGAGGUUGUGCCCUUGAGGCGUGGCUUCCGGAGCUAACGCGUUAAAUCGACCGCCUGGGGAGUACGGCCGCAAGGUUAAAACUCAAAUGAAUUGACGGGGGCCCGCACAAGCGGUGGAGCAUGUGGUUUAAUUCGAUGCAACGCGAAGAACCUUACCUGGUCUUGACAUCCACAGAACUUUCCAGAGAUGGAUUGGUGCCUUCGGGAACUGUGAGACAGGUGCUGCAUGGCUGUCGUCAGCUCGUGUUGUGAAAUGUUGGGUUAAGUCCCGCAACGAGCGCAACCCUUAUCCUUUGUUGCCAGCGGUUAGGCCGGGAACUCAAAGGAGACUGCCAGUGAUAAACUGGAGGAAGGUGGGGAUGACGUCAAGUCAUCAUGGCCCUUACGACCAGGGCUACACACGUGCUACAAUGGCAUAUACAAAGAGAAGCGACCUCGCGAGAGCAAGCGGACCUCAUAAAGUAUGUCGUAGUCCGGAUUGGAGUCUGCAACUCGACUCCAUGAAGUCGGAAUCGCUAGUAAUCGUAGAUCAGAAUGCUACGGUGAAUACGUUCCCGGGCCUUGUACACACCGCCCGUCACACCAUGGGAGUGGGUUGCAAAAGAAGUAGGUAGCUUAACCUUCGGGAGGGCGCUUACCACUUUGUGAUUCAUGACUGGGGUGAAGUCGUAACAAGGUAACCGUAGGGGAACCUGCGGUUGGAUCACCU
rnacentral:rRNA from 1 species